AAUCUCCUUAAAACUCCCAAAAAUCCCAAUUAAAUCCCACAAAUCCUAAUUAAAUCCCACAAAAUCCCAUUAGAACACCCUAGAAUUUCAAUAAAAGCCCACAAAAUCUAUUGAAGUCGCAACAAACCCCUCGAGAUCCCCAUUAAACCCCACAAAUCCCCCCAGAAAUGUCCCCAAAACUACAAGAAGUCCCACAAAAUCCCCCCAAGACCCAAAGAAAUCCUGGCAACACCCAAAACCCCCAUAAAACCCCACGAAAAAUCCCAAAAAACCCCAACUCUCAAUCCCACUAAAUGCCCUCCCAAUUCCAAUAAAAUGCUUCCAAAACCCCUAAAAAUCUAAAUAAAACCAUGAAAAAUUCGAGGGAAUCCAACAAAAUCUGCACAACAUCACAGUAAAACCUGCCAAAAUUUUUAAAAACCCAAAAAAUUCCAAGAUACCCUCAAACACCCCCAGAAAAACAACCCCCCCAAAAUCAAAAUCCCCAAAACCUACAAAACUCCCCAAAAUUCCACAACUUCUCCAAAACCCUGUAGUUUUCUUCAAAAAACCCAAUAAUUGCCCCUAAACUCCCAACAAAUUUCCCCAAAGCCUAAAAAAGCCCAAGGUCCCCAGAAACUCUCCUAAAACCCUCCCCAAAGCCCUGGUCCCUCCCAGUCUCAGCCCAGUCCCAUCCAGGGGCACGGCCAAACGCACAGGUCCCCGAGUGAUCCCGGAGCUGAUCCCAGAGCUGAUGUCAAAGCAUUCCCAGUUCCGAUCCUGGCACCGGUGCCAGAGGGAUCUUGCUGCACAUACCGAUGUCGGCCUCGGUCUUGGCCCAUUUUGGUGAUUUUAGGCCAAUCUGGGCGGGUUUAGGGUGGGUUUCAGGUCCCUUGCAGUGAUUCCAAGCCUUUUAGUGUGGAUUUUAGGCCCCUUUGGCUGAUUUUAGGCUGGAUCUGGUGAGUUUUAGGGGGAAUUUUAGAUUCCUCUGGCUGAUUUUAGGCCCAUAUGGGUGAAUCUUAAUCCUGUGUGGGUGAUCUUAGGUCCCUUGUCCUGGUGAUUUUGGGCCCAUUUGGAUAGAGUUCUGUCUUCUUUGGUUAAUUUUAGGUCAAACCAAGGCUUUUAGGGUGAUUUUAGGCCCUCUUGUGUUGGUUUCAGGCUUGUUUGGGUGAUUUUAGGUCCAUGUGGGUGAUUUUAGUAAAAACCAGGUGGAUUUUAGGCCGGAUUUAGGCACAUUUGGGUCAUUUGAGGCAAAACCAGGUACUUGCAGGGUGGAUUCUAAGCCCAUUUGGAAGAUUUAAAGGUGAUUUUAGGCCAUUUUGUGUGGGUUGCAAACCACUUUGGGCAAUUUUAGGCCCCUUUGGUUGGAUUUUAGACCUCUUUGUAUAAUUUUAAUCGCAUCUCCCUGAUUUUAGGCCAAACCUGGUGGAUUUCCGCUGCAUUUCAGGGCCUUUUGGGUCAUUUUAGGCCAAAAUGGGUCCUUUUAGGAUCGCGCGUCCCCUUGGCCACGCCCCUUUCCGCUCACGGUUCCCGCCCUUUCCUCGCCCCCUUUCCCCUCACGGUUCGGCCUUCGGGAACGGGGCAGGAGGAGGAGGGAGGGAGGAAGAGGCGCAGCGGCAGCAGGAGAAAAGGAGAGGGGGAAAUCGCAUGGCUUCAGCGCUCCCUGAACUCACCGCAGCCCCAGGACCAUCGCUCCCCAUCCUGCAGUUUGUCUAGUUAUAUCCCCAGUUGGCUCCCAGCAUGGGCCUGGUGUGGAUAUUCUCAGCUCAGUCAGAGAGAAAGAGAAAGGUUUUCUAACCAGGUGAGAGCCUGGGAAGCAGUUGGGAAAGAAUGUAAAUAAUUCUCUAAUCUGUCUUGUUGUUCACGUUGUUUAUAGAUAUGUUCUGCUACCGUGCAUCAUUCACUGCACACCAAUGGUGUGAGAUGUUUUUACUCUAAGACCAAUGAAAUUAAUCCGCAUGAUGUUCUCUAUAUAUAGAGCGGUGCAUUUGAAAUAAAUCUGAGCUCAUUUUCUUUGCCUUCUAA